GUGCUCUCUUUGGCAGCACAUACACUAAAAUUGGAACAAUACAGAGAAGAUUAGCAUGGCUCCAGCUCAAGGAUGACAUGCAAAUCUGUGAAGCGUUUCAUAUUUUU